rnacentral:rRNA from 1 species
UACGAAGGGGCUAGCGUUGCUCGGAAUGACUGGGCGUAAAGGGCGCGUAGGCGGAUGGCACAGUCAGAAUCGUGAAAUUCCGGCUUAACCUGGGGGCUGCAUUUGAUACGUGUUGUCUUGAGUUCGGAAGAGGGGUCGUGGAAAAUUUUCCCCAGUGUAGAGGUGAAAAUUCGUAGAUAUUGGGGAAAAGAAACACCGGUGGGCGAAAGGGCGGGCGACCUGGGUCCCGACACUGACGCUGAGGCGCGAAAGCGUGGGAGCAAACGGG